AAAUUUUAAUGUAAGCUUAAAUGUUAAUCUGCAAAGGUACAGCUCUGCAGAACAAGACUACAACCUUCAUUAGUGAGUAAACUUAUUUAACAACCAUAGUUGGCCUAAAAGCAGCCACCAAUUAAGAAAGCGUUCAAGCUCAACAAUCAAACUUAUACUUAAUUCAAAAAAUUAUAUAAACUCCUAAUCAAAUCACUGGAUUAUUCUACCACUCGUAGAAGAGAUACUGUUAAUAUGAGUAACAAGAUUUUAUAUCUCCAAACACAUGUGUAUAUCAGCCCGAAUCCCAACUGAUAGUUAACAAUUAGAUAAAUCUGUAUAUUUAAUUAAUAAUUUUCCACCACAUUGUUAACCCAACACCGGAGUGUAUUAAGGAAAGAUUAAAAAAAGUAAAAGGAACUCGGCAAACAUAAACCCCGCCUGUUUACCAAAAACAUCACCUCUAGCAUCACCAGUAUUAGAGGCACUGCCUGCCCAGUGACAUUAGUUUAACGGCCGCGGUAUCCUGACCGUGCAAAGGUAGCAUAAUCAUUUGUUCCUUAAUUAGGGACUUGUAUGAAUGGCCCCACGAGGGUUUAACUGUCUCUUACUUUCAAUCAGUGAAAUUGACCUUCCCGUGAAGAGGCGGGAAUACAAAAAUAAGACGAGAAGACCCUAUGGAGCUUAAAUUAAAGUGUCCAACAAAAUUUAAACCUAACCCAACAAGGAAUAACAAUAUUUUAACUGGACAAUAAAUUUUGGUUGGGGUGACCUCGGAGUAUAACAAAACCUCCGAGCAAUUUUAACCAAGACUAACCCGUCAAGGUGAUACAGCUUAUUGAUCCAAUCAUAUUGAUCAACGAAACAAGUUACCCUAGGGAUAACAGCGCAAUCCUAUUUGAGAGUUCAUAUCGACAAUAGGGUUUACGACCUCGAUGUUGGAUCAGGACACCCAAAUGGUGCAGCAGCUAUUAAAGGUUCGUUU
rnacentral:rRNA from 1 species